AAGAAACUUGUUGGACUCUUGGAUAAGACCCCAGUUCAUACUCUGGUGGAGGAUUGGGAUUGCUGGCAGAAACGAAUUGUUUGCUACUCCAAAUUGGAAUCAUACAACCGAAAAAGACUCCAAGAUAUUCUUACCAAGAUGGAUCAGACAACCAAUGACGAGAUCAAAAGUGCCCUAACGCUUCAAGUGUUGUCAGAAAUGCUCAAACCAAAGUCACGAAAAGAAAUGCUCGUUCACUUUAUUGAGAAUUCUGAUGACCCCUCUGUCGUUGGUGAAAGAAUAAAGACCAACUCCCCAUACAUUCUCGUCUCAUCCACAGCAGAAGAAGUGUCUUUCCACAUAAUGGUGGAACGCGAAUCUAUCAGUGAAGUUUCAACAUUUAAGAGUGCAGUAAUUCAUUUGAUAGCUUCAUAUUUCAUUUUUGACGUAGUAUAUCCAAAGCAAUGGUAUGCCACAUUUAUUCUUUUGCAACAUCACAUUUUUGGUCUAACUGACAAACAACGUACACCACCAAAUGUGAUAGAAAUGGUCACAUCA